rnacentral:rRNA from 1 species
UGCGUAGGCGGAAUAUUAAGUCAGUGGUGAAAUCCUGCAGCUUAACUGUAGAACUGCCAUUGAUACUGGUCUUCUUGAGUAUAGUUGAGGUGAGCGGAAUGUGUAAUGUAGCGGUGAAAUGCUUAGAUAUUACACAGAACACCAAUUGCGUAGGCAGCUCGCUAAGCUAUUACUGACGCUGAGGCACGAAAGCGUGGGGAUCAAACAGGAUUAGAUACCCUGGUAGUCC